CUUGACGCUGGAAUGGUCUGAAAACCUGUACGUAUAAUUAUACUGAAUAGAACUCCAGCAUCAAUCGCAUUGUAAACCCAUUAAAACAGCCCCAUUGUAAACAUCCAAUUAAGCAAUAAUAAACAGAUUAAACAGAUAUAAAUACGUGAAAAGUGAGGUGAGAGAGGAGAGGCCGAAGUGCGGUGUUGCUGCAAUGGCAACGCGUUUGUUUCAUCUUCCCCUGCGGCUCCUCUAGCCCUGCCACCCAGCCAAAGGGCCCCUCCUGUUGUGUGCUAAUAGGAGACCGGACGCACAAGGUUGUUGGCCACACUGCAGACGUCAUCGGGAGACUCUGGAGUCCAGUCUGACCGCAGGAAGGUGUGUGAGAGGUCUGCCCAGGUCUGAUGUGGACCAUAAUCGACCAUCGAGGGACCUUGGACCUUAUUGAGACCUGUUCGUAAACAUCUUCCCUUUUGGAAAGACAUCAUAUAAUAUUCACACCCCAUAAGCAACAUGGCCUGGUUUCGCAACACAGAGCCCAGAGUUUACCAUGACAGAGAUCCCCCCCCCCAACCCAAAAAUAAAAAAGCAAUAAUAAUAAUUUCACAUGUUGAGUAACAUGGUUUGUCCGUCAUAUUGUAUGUGCAGUAUGGCUGCAUGUGUACCCCCUGCUGGCUGAGAGCACAUUUCAAAC